GAUCAUGGCUCAGGAUGAACGCUGGCGGCGUGCCUAACACAUGCAAGUCGAACGGAGCUGCUUUGAUGAAGUUUUCGGAUGGAUUUAAAACAGCUUAGUGGCGGACGGGUGAGUAACGCGUGGGUAACCUGCCUCACACUGGGGGAUAACAGUUAGAAAUAGCUGCUAAUACCGCAUAAGCGCACAGUUCCGCAUGGAACGGUGUGAAAAACUCCGGUGGUGUGAAAUGGACCCGCGU
rnacentral:rRNA from 1 species